rnacentral:rRNA from 1 species
AAGGGUGCGUAGGCGGUUUAUUAAGUCAGUGGUGAAAGACGGUCGCUCAACGAUUGCAGUGCCAUUGAUACUGGUAGACUUGAGUGGGAUUGAGGUAGCUGGAAUGGAUAGUGUAGCGGUGAAAUGCAUAGAUAUUAUCCAGAACACCAAUUGCGUAGGCAAGUUAACUAAGUCUCAACUGACGCUGAGGCACGAAAGUGUGGGUAUCAAACAGGAUUAGAUACCCUUGU